AUUUAUAUAGUAUAAAAAGUAUAUUUGACUUCCAAUCAUAUGGUCUAUUAUAAUAGUAUAAAUA
rnacentral:tRNA from 1 species